GCCAGCAGCCAUAUCACCUUACAACUCACAACUGGCAACCCUCUGAAACUAAGCAGGUGUGAGCCUAGUCAGUACCUGGAUGGGAGACUUCCUGGGAAAAACUAAGGUUGCUGCUGGAG
rnacentral:rRNA from 1 species